UAUAUGGCUGUAAGACAGAUAUGCAAUCUAUAUCAGCAGGAGUAAUGUGGAUAUAUAGUUCUGCACAGGACAAAGAAAAAUAUUUGGACUGGCGGAUGUUACUGUGGCAUAUAAAAGCAUAACAACACAAAAUUCUCAUAGCCCUCAGCUGGUAAACAGAAAUCAAGAUGUUCUUGGAAAUUACUCUUUAGACAGACAUCUGUAUCAGGUAGACUUCUAGUCAUGCCAGCAACAAAAUAUACCGACAGCUACCCAUUCACAUACUUUGAUGCACAUAUCUUCUAAGCAUUCCCAAGAAAAAAGAGAAACCUGAGUCCAUCAUCUGUUGUUAAGCUCAUUGGCAGCAUAAUCCGACCCUGAAUAUUACAAAUGAGAAUACAUGCAAGUAAAGAAAAAAGGGUAUGGUUGAAGAAUGGAGGGAAACAUACUGGUAUUUGAGGAGCAUAUGCUGAGAGGAUGCCAUAAUGCUGUUCCAUGGGGGAUUGCAGGGAAAAAAUUGGUGAAGGUUUUUGUGGAUCCACAGAAAUCUUACAGUCACCUGCAAGGAUUUUUCAACAGAAGUUUUCUCAUCAGAGAAGGAUAGAAACCUCACCAUUGUGAUAGAUAUUUUAACUGAGUAAGCACAAAAAAAGGGGAAAAAAGACUUUCUCGAGCUUCAUACUCCUUUCUUUCCCUCUUGUUUCAUAAACAUUGAGAUGAAACUUCUGUAAAUGUUAUCUCCGGUUGUGAUGUAAAAUAUAUCUUUUUUCACCA